CUUCAUUCUGUUUUUCACACUGACAGAGCAGGGCUGCAAACCAAAGUUAAACUAAUUAAACAUUCAUAAGAAGCAAUGAAAUAAAAAGUGACUUUAUUAAAGUUGCACUCCUUCAUAAUUCCAUAUCAUGUUACAAUAUUCCAAUCAAAAGCGAAAAUUUAGACCUUUACAUAAUAAAAUUAGAUUCUGCUACAUGUAAUGCACUAUUUGUCCAACAAAUACAGUGUUCCAUUGUUAAAACGGCAUAGAAAACAUCCAGGGAAAAGCAACCAGACUGAGUUUUGGGCAUCGGAAAGUAUGGUACAUUGAUGACAUUUUUCAUUCCAGCAUGUAACAGUAAUUAUAAAGGGAGUCUUCAAGCAAUAUAUGGGUUCAAUUCUUAGUUUUUGUAUCGGACAAAGAUAGUGUGACAUACAUUUAUUAAACCUCUUUAACUUACUAUUAUUUACAGUAAUGCCACGUUUAAACCUCUGGUAUGGAAAUACCUUGGCAAUGCUUUGAGCCAACAAUUGUUCUGUGAGGCCGAGCCCCAUCCCCUCUCCCCAGGGAGGAGUAAUCGUAAAGAAGCAUCCUUUUCCAUUAGAAACUAACAUGGAGUUGUUUAUUCUCUAAACACUGAAUUGUAGUGAACUGAAAAUGUAAUUACAACAAUUGGGCAAAAAUAGACAAUUUUGGAAAAAUUAUCAAUUUUUAGUCGCAGCUUAGCUAUUAAUUUUUUAUUUUUUUUUAAAUGUAGCUUUCAAUCCACUACAGUUUGGUGAUUAGUGAAUUAAGCCCAGGAGUGUAAUAAGUCAUUCACAGUGGAGAACUAAAACAUUAAAGUGAACCUCUAAUGCCAGGUUCAAUAAGUAUAUAACAGUUCUGAGAAACAAAUGUAUAAAUCACUCCCCUCCCACCCCCCUCUUUGCACAAUGAUUGGCAAUGCUUGGGAACAGUAUCCCAAAUAAGGCAAUCCGGCCAGAUGGCGGUGACAUGUUGGUCUUACUGCAAACUCACUCUGUCACAAAUACUUCUAACGCUUGCUUGGGGAAUAUAACAGAGUGCAGAAGAAUUGCCUUUAGGAGGGUUCUCCUGCCAUCGUCACUCAAGCCUUCUGCAUAGCUGUCUAUGAUGACAAAAUGCCCAAAGAAUUGUUUGACAGCUGGGGAAAGGACCGAACGUUUAAAGAGUUUUAAAUUAAAAUAUAUACAUUUGCAGUGCUUUUUGCUAGCACAAUUCAUAGAUGAUAUGUUGUGCUCUUAUUUAAAGCAGUACAUUUUAAAGUAAAAUAAAUGAUAAAACAAAACAGAGCAACAACAAAACAUUUUGCAAACAUUCGGCAUUACAAAAAUUGAAAUGUUUGUGAAUAUGAUCCAUUUAUACAAAUUCGGUACUACACAUUUCAUAAAAAGAAAACAACAUACAUAUUCAAUGGAAUAAAUAGUUUGACAAUAUUUGACAUCUUCAACUUCAGGUUUCAACUGCCCAGAAAUAGUUUGAGUGCAACUGUCAGAGCUCGUAUGGAUGGAGCAUUAGAAGAAUGAGAACGUAAAACAAAAUUUAUCAAAAUUCUGAAAUGUGACAGGGUAGGAGGAACGAUGUGAAGAAUAUUUUCAGGAAUAUAAUGCGUAAAGAAAAAACAAACAUUAUUCAAUAAUUAUAGUUUAAAACAAUACAUCAAAUUGGGAUUGUGAACCAGAGCUACAAUUGGAGGUUCCGCUGUGAAGAUAAGCCAAAACUACUACUUUAUGAAAUGUGAAGGAGAAAAAAAAUAAUAAUAAAAAAAAAAAAUCACCUGACACAUUGAAUAUGAAAUAGUGAAACAAUGAUCAUCAAUAAAAUGUAUAAACUCAUUUUCGUUUAUGGCCGUUUAAUCGAAAUAAACACAACAAAUUAAAAUCCAGUGAGAAAACAUGAACUUUUAUAAUUGAAUGUAUUUCUCGGGUGAGUUACAGUCUGAAGUUUACCGUUUUAAAACAAUGGAAAUCAAUUGCCCCCUGCCAGAUUUUAUUACAAACUUUGCUAAGAAAAUAUAGACUCUGGCGUUCAUGAAUUUCAUACCAAAUUUGAAUGAAAUGAAAAGUGAAUUGCAAAAUGUAGGCUAAAAUUGGCCAACUGUCAGCAGCAGAAUUUGAGAAUUAAUCUAAAUGGUCUAUUGUAGCCUUAAUUCUACAAUUCAAUUAGUCAGUAGAGCACCUAGCGAAUAAUAAGAUCUUUUUAUUGCAAAUAUGUCCCCUGUACCGAACUCAAUCAAACUCUCUUUAUGGACUACACAAGGCUCCGCUCAACCCGUAUGGCGAUACUGUGAGUGCAGUAAGCAGAGUUAAUUGAUUGGAUCAAGUUAUCUUUUUUUACUAUUACCAUUUAGGAGACAGAUAAUUCAAUAAAGUUAUACAGCAGGGUUUUAUUGAACAUAUUAUUGGAAUGUGUGGAUUUAAGGUUUAUUCAACGUGUGACAUUUUUAACAUGCCAUGUCUAUAAUUAAAAAUAACAUUUUACAAUGAAAUCUUAAACAGCCUAACAUUCUAUUGGUCUCAUCCUUACGGGGGCACUCCGGGUUGGGAUUGACAUUUGUUUUUGUUAAUGCAUUGCAUAGUAGAUACAUUAAAAAAAAAUGUGCACUAGCAACCAACUAUGAAACAUAAAAAGAUAGUCACAUUUGAAGAUGCUGCAUUUAGGAUGAAUCCCCAGGCUUUUAGCACAUCCCAGAUAAAAGGAUGGGCCAACAACGUUCAAUGGACAUUUUCAAAGAAAUAAACCCUUGCAAGUUGCAGCUCAGUUACCUGACUUUUACUGACCAAAGCUGUCAGAGGAACUACAACCACCAACAGAAACCUUUGCUGUGGUUCCUGAUGACAUGAGCUGACCAUUUAUUAAACAUCGAAUUAUAGGGAAGUGAAAACCAAAUUGCAAAAUAGCGAGUAAACGAACAGUUAAUGGCUUACUCCAAGCAUCAUAACUACUACAGCCCGCUACAGUGGUUAUGGUGGCAGGAAUAUUCUGCACUUGUUUCCAGUAAACUGUGUUAUCAUAAAACAAUGCAGGUUAGGAGAUCAGGAUAGGAAGGGGGGUGAGACGUACCAACAAGAUGCAAGUAUUUUAAGACUGAAUACAUGGGGAAGAAAGAAAUUUGGUAAUCAAAUCACUACAAUUCGCUGUUGGAGAAUAAACACUAGAUUUUGAUAAGCAAUUUCAUGCUGCAAAACAUUACAAAACUGAGCAUGCAAGCCCCCUCCCACCGUAACAAAAACCAAAUCUCUUCCCUCCCCCAAAAAAAAAAAAGAUGCACAAAAGUUUUAGUCUGUACUUUUUAAUGGGACACUACAGCCAUUAAUACCAUAUAGAAUUUAGACUAUUAGCACAUAAAGGCUUUACUGGCAGACACAGCAUAGCGAUUAGCUGCAGAGCUUCAUGGGGGAUCUUAGUCCUCAAUAGCUUCACCCCUACAAGAAAAUUAAUAUUCCCCAAAUAAAAUUUAAAAAUAAAAAAAAACCUUCCGUCACAAUGUGAAUAGCACUUUAGUUUUGGCAGAAUGGCAUCUAGUAAUUCCUAUUUAGAUCCUGAUUUUGACAAGAAAACAAUCCACUAUAUAACAAUAUAAGUUUUUAAGAUCAGGGUGUUCACCUCAAAAAAUAAGGAACAAAAUAAACAUUUUUAUUUCCAUUUUGGAAGAAACUCUAUAUAAAUAUAUAUUGCUCGUAUAACAAUGCGAUAAAGUGCGACUAUGCAUUCAUUCGUUCUUUCAAGGCAAUACAGGAUCCUUAAACUCAAAUCACACACAAAAGCUUUCGGUAAGACUUCUAUUGGAACAGGGAUAUAGGUUUGCCCUAUGUAAUACAGAGAAGAAGGGUACGUCUUCUUUUGAAAAAUCUGUAUUCCUAACGCUACAGUCUUGAUGGCCAUUGUCAUUUAGGUCCCCCCCCUCCCCGUGUGUUCCAAAAAACAAACAAAAACACAACACUAAUUACUCACUCCUCCUCAGAGUCUUCCUGAUGUGUGCGCUUACAAUGAUGGGCUAAUCCAAUGCUCUUCACAGAGCAUGGGGAAAUGUAGACACACGCGUAGCAUAUGCCGCAAUUCCAUGAUUCUCUAUGGCUGACCAUGAUGGCACUGCGCAGGUGACCUCAUGGUAUAAGAGGUGGGAAGCUUCCAAUCUUUAUUUUUACUUUAAUAUUGGGUUUGGGGGGUGUAGCACAGGGUGGCCAGCACUGAAUGCACUAUAACAACUUCAGUAAGAUGAAGUUGUUAAGGUGCCUUCCGUGUUCCUUUAAAAGAUCACUACAACCUCUUUGAAUACCAUUAACACUACCACUUAUUGUAGUAGUUAGUUAUAGUACUAGGAAUACAGGUUUUAGUCUAAAUAUUUUCAAAAGCUUUACAUUUCUGCUGGAGAUAUAAUAAGGAUGUUUAAUCUCCUCAUUAUCUUGCUUAAUAUUUGUACAGAGUUAAAAAGUAUUGUGUGAUCACAGCUUGCAUUGAGAAGCUAUGGUCAAAGAUUAUUUAGGCUUGCUGGGCAAUCAGACAUCCCUUGCAGUGCCUUCUAGAUGCCAUUGACCUCUUCUGGAUCAGGACUUGCUGCUAUGAGGACUUGUUUUUUUUCCUUUUCAUAACAGCCUUAACGAAGGCUGUUCUAGGGUGCCAUUCAAGGACACAAACACAAACAGACAUGGUAAAUAUUUAGAAUAGAUUCUAGACACUGUACAACUCGAUUUGGAGGUUUUAACGUUAAACACACUAUGUUCCCCUAUACAAGUUCUAGGAAAUGUUUUCAUGACUGGCCUGCAAAUUUCCAUGAAUGACUGGGCUUAAGGGGAUGCAAUCAAAUAAAUUAGGUACAAUAAGAUCCAAUAAGAUGUAUGCUUAAAAACAUUACCCAAGGUGCUUUACAGUAAUAUUUAUUCUGUUAGCGCUGCCAAAAUUAAUAAAACGUUUUUUGCCAAUCUACUUCCUGGAAUGUUCUAAUUAUAAAGUGUCUGCAUUUGCCAAUCUUUUCCCACUUGCUUUCGACACAAACUAAAUCUUUAUCAUCAUAUUGGUAUUACCUCACUAAUUAAACUGUUAAAUAAAAUGGAAACAAAAAAAAUAAAUAAAUAUACACCAUUUUGUAUCAUCAGGGCAGCCUCGGAUUACAGCACUUCAAUGAAGCAUUGGGUUUCAGACCAACAAACCCCCCAAUAAAAGCAGAAACCGCAUGAAAUAUUCCUUUUUUAUAAAUAUAUUUCUGGAUUAUUCUAUAAAUAGGUUAUUGAACAGGGAACCUACAACUAUGUGAAAAUUAUGCCAUUGAGGGUUUCUGGAUACAUCAAAAUAAGUCUUUAAAACCCAGCGAUAGCAUUAUUGUACCCAAAUACCAGGUUCCUCUAUAUCUUUUAAAUUUUGUUAUUUACUCUAAAUUGGUGGAAGUUAAAUUCUUAAGCAGCAGCUGCCAUUUUCAUUCAGUUCUCUGUCCAUAGUAGCAGAGGAGCUAGGUAUCUAGGGAGAUAGACUCUCACGGUUCUGUCUCCUCAGCUCCUCUUUCACCAUAUCAUUAUUGGGGGAGGGCUGAAAAUGUAACCCCAUGAAUCUCUGGCAGACCAGAACAUAUAUGUCCCAAUGCUGCCAUAAGAUUAAGGGUUCCCAUACUGCACGGCAUCUAUCAAACCAUGAAUUACAGGGAAUAAGUCAUCACCCACAGUACAGUGUGUGUAGAUACAAUCACAUAUACAUCCAUCUAUAUACACAGACGAGCAAAGGAUUGCACUCUGAGGUUUAAUGAGAUUUAAUGGGGGGGGGAAGGUCAAAAACUAACAAUGUUUUGGACUUUAGACAGACUUAUAAAGAUAGACUAACAAUGCAAUACAACACACUAUUUUGGAUAUAAAAUAAGGAAAACUCACCAAUAGAGUAAGGGUCCAGGUUCAUGAUAACCAAGUGAUAUUUCGUUACAGGAUGUCAAAAGCUCAAAGACAAUACGGGCAAAAAUUACUUUGAUCUCUGGCUUCGUUAAUCAACACUAUUUUCAUCCACAUUGUCAACUUCUCUUAUUUUUGUAAGGCACUCACUUUUUGUAUUGCUAGGUUGCUCACGUAGAUAUUAUUUAGCCAGUAUGUGUAUACGCUAGUCCAUUCGGUUGCUAAGCAAUCAAAUCCCGAUGUGCGGUUAUCCACCAUACCAACUCACGUUCUCACAUAUAUAUAAAUUGCAUCGCAAAGUACUUAUUUGCUACAUUUGCGUGGACUUUUUGAGAUGCUUUAUUUAAUCUUUCAGUAACAGCAUCCUAUAUCCUAGUAAUAAAAUGUCACAACUGAUUUUGGGUUACAGUUACUUUAAGUUCAUGGACUUUGAUGUUCCUAUUUUGGGCACUUUUUCAUAAAAUCCAUUUUGAAAAUCAUUUUGAUCCAUUUGAGUUGGAUCUGCACUCAGAAUUCAUACAAACGACACACACACACAAGAUAUAAAGUACAUGCACAAACAGUCUUCACAAUGGUCUCCGAGCAGCUAUACAAAAAUAAAAUUAAAAAACAUGACGGAUGGUCAUAAUAUCACAUGGUACUUUUGGCAGAAUUGACUAUAGCUUAUUUGGAUGCAAAUAUCAAGUUGGGAAUAUUGUUUUAAUAUAAGGAACGGCCAUUGAGGAACGACAGCAAAAAAUAUAGGCAUCAUAAAAAAUAUAUUUUCUCUGGUACUAAAACACCAACCACAGAACACUUAUUAUUAAGGCUACUGUUGUCUGGGCUACAAGAAAUAGAUAUUUUAAAACAAACAAAACAUAACUUUGUUGAAAUGAAGUUGUGUUGCAAAGAGGUUCUGGGCGUCCUCUUACUGAAAGAAGUUAAACUACUGAUUAACUUUUUAACCCCAAAGUCUGCAUUUCAGAUCAAUGUACGAGGCUGAGAACAUCAGCUGAUACUUUGUCUAUCACUAACUCCCCCCAUUGAGAAAAGUGAGUGAAAAAGCGGUGGCAAAGCAAUUGGGUGCCUGCUUGCAAACUUUGGAGUUAAAGCAUUCAUAAUAAUGAAUUCAGGUAAGACAACGCCUGGGACGUCCUCGCACCAUAACUUAAUUUGUGAUGAACAAUUUUAUUCCUCUUGGUUUACACCAAGACAUUUAGUGACCCACUGGACUAGUACAGUAUACACAAUCAUGGAAACCUGUAGGGUGCGUUUUCCUUUAAUUGCAUUCGAACAUAACACUGAUAAACAUUGCUAUCCACAUAGGCAUCUUUGUUUUGUGAAAGCCCAUUCUUUUACACCAGUGUUACAACCUCAAACAUAAAAUUGGGGGUUCAAUGGGAAUCAUCAAUAUUUCUUUUCACAGCUGAAAUGACUUCCUAAAAUAUGUACCGCUGCUUACUUAGUGUUUGAAAUGAAUGGCAACAGGGCAGCUAUGCUGUUAGCAAUAGCAGAGUCCCUUGCCAUCCCGCCCCUGCAAUGCAUGAAUAUACAGGCAAAUUAGGGGAGUAGAGUAUUUAGUGUUCUGCCAUUGAAGGGCAGUUGUAGUUUACUGUACCUGGAAUGCAGAAGAUUGCCUAUCACAGUAUAUAAACAAAAAAGACCAACAGCAGAAGUAGGGGUUCAUGCACUGAACAAUGAUCUGUAUUGAAAAAUAACUUAGUGGCUAAGGGUGGACAAAAAGGAAGCUCCCCAACUGAGAUAUAGUAGGACUACAACUUGCAUGAUGUUUUAGAGCCUUAAGGAGCUGUUUCUAUAAAACUGGGGGAUGGAGAGGAGGAGGAAAUAUUUUUGGCCAUUACAGUGGUGUUGGAAUAAUAAAACAAAACAAGAAAUCGUGUCUGUUUUAACCCAAAUUUCACAAUUCAAAAUUCAAUUUAUCUUUUAAAUUUCAGUUUUAGAACCUAUAAAUAUUUCAUUUUCACGAAGCCUAGUAAGGCAUUAUAUAGGGUUAAAUAAUUAAUGCAGGGACACUCGGAGCAUCAAUACAACUUCAAUGAAUUCAGGAAGUAUUACUUUACUGAGAGGGUAGUGGAUGCAUGGAAUAGCCUUCCAGCUGAAGUGGUAGAGGUUAGCACAGUAAAGGAGUUUAAGCAUGCGUGGGAUAGGCAUAAGGCUAUCCUAACUAUAAGAUAAGACUAAUGAAAGUAUUUAGAAAAUUGGGCAGACUAGAUGGGCCAAAUGGUUCUUAUCUGCCGUCACAUUCUAUGUUUCUAUAUUAAUAGAUAUCGGCUCAAAUCUUUAUAGCAAUCUGUCUUUAGAGCACAAAGAAAAAUAAAUGUUUUGUAGAACGCUGCACUACAGAUCUACUGCCGAAGUUAUUAUGAAAUGUAUGUACACAGUCUCAGUCGCAACAGCACAAACUGGUUGCAGACAGUCAUGGAAACAACAAACAGGCAUUGAUACCCUUACUAUGUGUCUCCCUGGGUGACCCGUCCUCCUAAUUCAGACCCUUCACUGCUGUCAUUGGCUGAGCUGCUCGCAUACAUUUGCUAACAAAGUCUUUUCCUUAAUCAAAUGCAAUAAAGUUGUAUUGGUGUCCGGAGUGUCUUUUUAACAUUUGGAGAGGUGAGAAUGGUCAUCAUACCAAAAAAAAAAAUUAAAAAAUUAAAAAUCAUCAUUAUAAGCACACAUCUGUUUUAGAACCAGUUAAAACAGCAGCAUUUAUCACCAUAAUCAGGAGAAUUACUAGCAGCUAAGAAGGAAAACGUAUUGGUCAUAAAAAUAUUGGCUUGUAGAAAUAGUGUUUCUUUUUUUUUGGAGAUGGGGAGGGGAGGUGGACAGAACACAUUGUGUGCUUUCAUUUCAAAGCAGGAAAGAGGUGAUCACAGUGAUUUGCAAAAUAGGGGUAUAAUUAAUUAUUAACCCAUUUUGUUGCUGGAAGGGUCAACCAGCUUAGUGGGCAAACACCCACAGCACUAGAAGGGUUAAAAACACUUGCAUUGAUUUUUGUGCAUCAAUAAAAUAGGACUGCGUUCUACAAAUAACAGUAGUGAAAUCUUAAUACAUUAUGGUAGUAACUCUGCCAAACAUAUUGAUUAAACAUAUGAUUAGCCAAGUGGUUUAAAGGGGACGAUCCACUACACGAUUAUUAACAAGUUAAAACCACUUUACAAUGCAGGAUAAAUCAGACUGAUGAUGUGUUAAAUUAACUAAAUAGUGCAAUGUAAUCUAUUAAUGCAGUCACAGACAAGGUGCAAAUGCAUUGUUAGCCAGAUUAGGAGAAAAUCGGGAAACUAAGCAUCACUGAACACAAAUGAUACAGGCCAUGCUUUAAGGCACUAGCAGCUAGCACUGAGGGGUUUAUAGCUAAAGGAGUGAUACAAAAAAAAAAGAUAUAUAUAUUUUAAAUCAUGCUGUACCUAUCAUAGUUUCAUGACAGAUGCUGUAAAUAUGGGCUUGCCAUUUUGCUAUAGAUAAUUUGACAAAUAGGGUCAUUUUAGAUCAUAAACUGGUUUGGGCACGGCCUCUUCACAGACUUUCCAUAUAUCAAACAUGUUUUGUUAGAACGGUUUGUCUUGUUUUACCCAUUGUACAGCGCUGCAAAUUAUGUUGGUUGCUAUGUUGAAAAAUUGGAAUUUUGUACAAUGCUUGUGCAUGUGGCUAUUGCACUUUACAGAGCCAGAUAUUUUUGGGUAAGCCAUCAAAAUGAAUCUUUGGGUCAGCUUUUUAAAGUGACAAUUUAUCAUAAUUUGUUUCUAAAAAAAAAAAAAAAUAAUCUAUAAAAUUCAUAAAUUAAAGAUCAUUAUAAAAAGCUUCACGGAAUCUUAGCACUAACAUCUCUGGGGUUCCAGCUAACUUGGAGGUACCAUAAUCCUUAAAGUGUGAAUUUGUAAGUGGCCAAAAAGAUACAUAGAUAUUUGUUUUUUUAUUUUCAUGGCAUGGAGGAGCUGCUUAACUGGGGCACAAAUCAGCAAUAUGGGGUCACUGCGAAUGCCCCCCUGCCAUUUCUUUUGAUAAACCAGGAUGAGCAGAAGCUAUGCCCAGCAUACAGAUCUAUGAAAGAAGGCACAGACUGCCGACCAGGGCAGGCAGAUACAAGAAAUACUACAUUUUCUAAUCAUUAGAUUAGAUAUACACACACAAUUCUCUAAAAUGGCCAUGUCUUAGUUUAAAGAAACUGUGCGGAAUAAUUUUAAGAUCUGGUCUUAUGACUGCUUAGAUUACAAAAUUAUUAAUUUAGUGUUGUGUACUGGUGCAGACUUAAAACAAAAAAAACCCCCAAAACUAAAUUAGUUCACUUGAAUGUCU